AAAAGGAGCCCCUUUUUAUGCAAAAGCUUAUUCAAUGGCUGAUAUCCUGAAGACUUCCAUCUAUGGUAUUGUCUCUGCUUUCUACGAUGAGAUGUCACAUAGUGCCAAGGAGGGACUGCUUGAGAAAGAUUGGAUCAUCAGUAGUAAGCCACUGUAUGGAACUCGUGAGCUCCUUUCACAGAAACUGCGACUGUUCCUGGACUUCCAAGCUAGCUAGGGCAUGUUGCACUACAUGGAGGUUGAUUUUGAAGCGGCUGUGCUUGUGUUUUGACGGAGAAUGCUUAAGAAGUUCGAUAGCUCAUUCCUGGUGUGAAAAAUGGUGCCAGAAAAAAAAAAGGUUCUAAUAUAUACCAGGUCCGUCUGGUGGAUGAUGUCUGGCAUUGGUAUUCAGAUCUCAACAAUUCCCUCUCUUUUUUUUAACCGGUGGGUAAAAUAGUGGGUGGUGGGUUAAAUUCACGAUUGUCAUCUUUGUGCAUUAAUGGAGGGAUGUUUUAGGUUUGAAUGUUUUUCUUUGGUAUCAGACACACACACAUCUGCAGACUGCAAGGCUGCAACUUGCUAGUGUGCGUAUCUUUG
rnacentral:misc_RNA from 1 species